GUAGAAACGCUGUAGUACACAAGCCAGGCCCAUAAGGGGCGCUGCUUCUGCUACAGAAAUCCAGAAGGAAAAUAAAUAAGAAAAGAGGCGAGCAUGCGCAUAAAGGGUGAGACUCCGCGGGCUUAACAGUCAUUGGCUAGAGGAUCGGGGGGGGGCAUGACGUCAUGGUUUGCGGUUUCAGUCGGUUUCAGGCGUCCACACGAAUCCAAAACGAAACCGGAUAGAUUUGAAACCACCUCCGAGGGUGGUUUCAGAAGUUUGCGGUUUCGGUCAGCGGAUUCGCCGGCUUCGUGUGGACGGAAGGCCGAACCGUACAAGACCUUUGCGGUUUCGCCAUGAAAUCGGCUUCGUGUGGACGGGGCCUAGGGGCCGUGGACUGCGGUACCACUUUCCUGAAGAGGAACUCGCUGGCUCUAAAUCCCUGAUCAAAACGUUUCUUCACACGCAAGCACUCGUCACUUGAAUUUGUUGUAUGUAUAUCGAUUUUUUUUUUAAGGGGCUUGUUCUGAGUUGUAUGUACUUUUGCUGUAUGUAUGCUACUUAUGUUUAGGUUUUUUUAUGUAUUUGUAUGCACCUUGUUACUUAAGUGCAAUACGAAAUGGCUCAUUACCAUGCCACCGCUUGGAAAUGUGGGCUCUGGUAACUGUGGCAAGGCCUGGCAACAAAAUGGAAUAACUGGCAAAACUGACCACAACGUUUGGGAAAUAAACUGCUUAGGGAACUCUGUUGACGGGAAAGUCACCGUGGUGAAUUUAGUUUGUUGGAUAUUCGCAUAUUCAUUUCGGGUUUCUGAGGUGCUUUCAGUCAGUCUUGGCGGACAACCAAAGGACACCCACUAACUUUUCACUUUUCACAUAGGCAUCGUCAAUAAAUUACUACUCCAUUAAUUUCUUAUGGAAAAUGGCUUUUUGCUCAGUUCCACCUAGUAGAACAGUUCUUUAUUGGUUUGGGGUCUUUCGGUGGCAUACAUGGAAGCUAUUGAGCAAAAAGCUAUUUUCCAUAGGAAAAGAAUAGGAUUCUUUAAAAAAAAAUAAUGCAAUUGUAGGUGCAACAAAUGAUAUUAUCCUUGUGUAUAAUGAAGGCCGGAAUGGAAGGUGGCUGUCAUCUGACCCCACUGCCUCAUUAUCCGAUGCUAGGAAAUGGAUAUGUAUUCAUGUAUUGGCAAUGAACAUACAUAAUUGUCUUGCUAAUCAAAUGUGAGAUGAUUGAGUGUAAAUUCAUUUGUAAUUUUUUGUUGAAGGUACUAACAUUUCCCUGAUUCUUUCAGGACAUGAACGAUAACGAGAAUCUGUCAGCCUGUGAGUCCAGGGUGACUAUGGAGGUGAUUUUUCUUAACAAUUUACAGCUAUAAUAGGAAUUUGCAGGCAAAAAAUGGCUAUUGGGUCACUGACAUAGCUGUUGGUUAUGUAUGGGAUAACGGACGACACAGCACUGGACUAUCCAAGGUUUAUGUAUGACGACUGCGGGGUGACCUGUGAACUUUCACAGGUCACCACGAAUCAAUGGGAAACUCAACCCAGCAGUGCUGUGGCUGCAUGUAACUGUUUCACAUGACUCUUCCUUCUGCAUGAUCAUCUAUCUAAAGAGGGACGAGACCUCCACCUCCUCAUCAAGGCCUUCUCGAGGGACAGACAAGGUUUUUAUUUAGGUUAUUCCUUUUUGUAAGGCCACAAGGCUUUGAACACGGUAAAUGAAUCACAAUUUUAACCCAUAAUUUCUUUAGGUUGGCGAAGAAAAUAUAAGGGUGCUGUAUAAGCGCAACCUGGAGUUGGAUAAUGUUAAAAUAAAAUUGCAGAUAAAAAAACUCAAGCUGGAGAUUCAGCUCCUCGAGAGGCAACUGCACAGCGAUGGAUAAUGAAUGAAUUCAAUAAAGAUGAACAAAUGUAUUUCCGUCCAUUGUAUUUUUUAUUGAACAAAAGUCCAACAAAGCU
ensembl:lncRNA